rnacentral:rRNA from 1 species
GACGAACGCUGGCGGCGUGCUUAACACAUGCAAGUCGAACGAAGUGGCGAACGGGUGAGUAACGCGUAAUCAACCUGCCCUUCAGAGGGGGACACCAGUUGGAAACGACUGCUAAUACCGCAUACUGAAGGAGGGGCUUGCGUCUGAUUAGCUAGUUGGAGGGGUAACGGCCCACCAAGGCGAUUAUCAGUAGCCGGUCUGAGAGGAUGAACUGCCACAAUGGGACUGGGACACGGGCCAGGCUGCUACGGGAGGCAGCAGGGGGGAAUCUUCCGCAAUGGACGAAAGGCUGACGGAGGAACGCCGCGUGAGUGAUGACGGCCUUCGGGUUGGAAAGCUCUGUUAAGCGGGACGCGGUACCGGAAUAGAAAGCCACGGCUAACUACGUGCCAGCAGCCGCGGUAAUAC